UUGCACAGGGACAUUUAGAGGCUGG
rnacentral:piRNA from 1 species